rnacentral:lncRNA from 1 species
UCCAAACUGCCAGGUACAGUGGACAACAGGCCAGGAGAGAAAAAUCCCUGGAGGGCAUGUGUGAAUUGGGAGAACUUAUUUUUCUUCCCUCUGCCCUAAGGCAAGAUAAAAAGGCCUGGAAAUAGGAGAUGAGAUGGUGGAAGGUAAAGCAAUGUAGGGAGGGCAUAGUAGCUCAAGGUCCUCCAAGUAACAAGGAAAAAACAGGGAAAGUGAAAGAAAAAUAUGAGAGAAUCCUCUGGAAAUUUAGGUGUAUCUGUAAAUGUGUGGACUAACAUGCUAUUUCUUUUUCUUAAGAGUCAGGCCAGCCCAGGUUGGAACGCAGUGGUGCGAUGAUACCUCACUGCAGCCUUGAACUCCUGGACUCAAGCAAUCCUCCCCACUCAGCUUCCCAAGUAACCGGGACUACAUGCAUGAGCCACUGCACCAAGCUCCCUACUGUGCUCUUUCUUGAUUAACAUUAGAAAUUGAGAGUCCUACCAAUGCCAUGCAUAGUACAAGACAUGGGCAGGACAAUAAAGAGAUGGCAGCAAGCAUUUCCAGACAAGAGAGGGCAGAAGCCCCCCUAGCAGCUUGCACCUGACACAGAGAAGACCCAGAAGGUAUCCGUGCUCAGUGGAGAGGGAGAUACACGGAAGGCGACAGUCUUGGUGGGCAUGCUUGACCAGGCAUUUCUAUGGCAAGCAGCAAAGUGACCCUGGAGUGGAAGACUUGAAGGCCAGCCUGCCCUAGCCCAAGAGGAUCCCAGCUACAGCCAGAAUCAAGCCCGAAGUUCCCCUAAAGAGAUUGCUAGUGUAUCCGGUGCGGUCCAGUCAGGAGACAGAAACCACGCCAGUUAUUUGAACAAGAAAGAAUGUAAAGAACUGCUCACUAGUUUGGAAAAUCCCCUUAGGAAGAUCUCCCAAGAGUCAGAAGGAAGUUCUAAAACUCAUUUGAGAUGAACCUCACCAUGAGGGUGGUGGGUGCAGGUACACUGUCAGAGAGCCAAGUACGCGUGGUCUGAGGGCCAGAAAUUUCCCUUGGGUGAAAGCAGGCAAAGGAGGCCUCUGAAAAUUGCUCAGAAGAAUCAGCACCUAGAGACACAGGAUUUCUUUAAAGUUGAAGUCUUUGUUGAAAGAUAUGCUUGGACUGAUGGAAAAUCCUCACCCAGCCCACCUGCUGAGGCAGAAGCCCAAGGAGACUGGCUGACGCAGCAAAGAAAGAAAUUAGGGGUACAAUGGACUCCCUGGUAGAAGCUGCAUGCUAUCAGGCUCGGGGGAGAUUCUAAGGAAAUGCAAUGCAGGACCUGGAGAGGAUAAUUGUAACGUGUAGUUAGACAUGUUCUGGAGAUGUUAUUACAAUACUGGCAGGGCCCUGAAGCAGAGGAGCGGGAACUGAUAGUCAGUCUCCCACUCCCUGCUUCAGAAGUCAGCAACUGCCUUGGAGCUUCAAAUGCCUCGGUCCCUGUGGCUGGCUGCCUACCUA